CCCUUCGGGGUGAAACCUGUGGAACGAGCGGCGGACGGGUGAGUAACACGUGGGCAACCUGCCUGUAAGAUCGGGAUAACUCCGGGAAACCGGGGCUAAUACCGGGUAAUGCCUUCCUCCGCAUGGAGGAAGGUUGAAAGGCGGCCUUUUGGCUGUCACUUACAGAUGGGCCCGCGGCGCAUUAGCUAGUUGGUAGGGUAAUGGCCUACCAAGGCAACGAUGCGUAGCCGACCUGAGAGGGUGAUCGGCCACACUGGGACUGAGACACGGCCCAGACUCCUACGGGAGGCAGCAGUAGGGAAUCUUCCGCAAUGGACGAAAGUCUGACGGAGCAACGCCGCGUGAACGAUGAAGGUCUUCGGAUCGUAAAGUUCUGUUGUCAGGGAAGAACAAGUACCGUUUGAACAAGGCGGUACCUUGACGGUACCUGACGAGGAAGCCCCGGCUAACUACGUGCCAGCAGCCGCGGUAAUACGUAGGGGGCAAGCGUUGUCCGGAAUUAUUGGGCGUAAAGCGCGCGCAGGCGGUUCCUUAAGUCUGAUGUGAAAGCCCACGGCUUAACCGUGGAGGGUCAUUGGAAACUGGGGAACUUGAGUACAGAAGAGGAGAGCGGAAUUCCACGUGUAGCGGUGAAAUGCGUAGAUAUGUGGAGGAACACCAGUGGCGAAGGCGGCUCUCUGGUCUGUAACUGACGCUGAGGCGCGAAAGCGUGGGGAGCGAACAGGAUUAGAUACCCUGGUAGUCCACGCCGUAAACGAUGAGUGCUAGGUGUUAG
rnacentral:rRNA from 1 species